ACUUUUCUAGUAUAGCACAGUAUAAGUGACUUCCACUCACUAGGCCCUAAUUAAACCAGGGAAAAGUA
rnacentral:tRNA from 1 species